AGAUUAUAGCGUAAUACUCUGUUUUUAAAUAACACUUUUCAGUGCAAAACAGAGUAUUACGCUAUAAUCU
rnacentral:pre_miRNA from 1 species